rnacentral:ncRNA from 1 species
CAACCCGAACCGAGAGGUUCGGCUGAACCGGCAGGAGUCAGCAGAGGGCAUAGUACCCAGGAGGUCAUGAAUUCAGGGGGAAGGCC